AAUGAACGCUGGCGGCAGGCCUAACACAUGCAAGUCGAACGGAUCCUUCGGGAUGUUAGCGGCGGACGGGUGAGUAACGCGUGGGAACGUGCCCUUUGCUACGGAAUAGCCUCGGGAAACUGAGAGUAAUACCGUAUGUGCCCUUCGGGGGAAAGAUUUAUCGGCAAAGGAUCGGCCCGCGUUGGAUUAAGUAGUUGGUGGGGUAAUGGCCUACCAAGCCGACGAUCCAUAGCUGGUUUGAGAGGAUGAUCAGCCACACUGGGACUGAGACACGGCCCAGACUCCUACGGGAGGCAGCAGUGGGGAAUCUUAGACAAUGGGGGAAACCCUGAUCUAGCCAUGCCGCGUGAGCGAUGAAGGCCUUAGGGGUUGUAAAGCUCUUUCAGUGGGGAAGAUAAUGACGGUACCCACAGAAGAAGCCCCCGGCUAACUCCGUG
rnacentral:rRNA from 1 species